rnacentral:rRNA from 1 species
AAUCCAUAGGUUAAUGAGGCGAACCGGGGGAACUGAAACAUCUAAGUACCCCGAGGAAAAGAAAUCAACCGAGAUUCCCCCAGUAGCGGCGAGCGAACGGGGAGGAGCCCAGAGCCUGAAUCAGCAUGUGUGUUAGUGGAAGCGUCUGGAAAGGCGCGCGAUACAGGGUGACAGCCCCGUACACAAAAGCGCAUGUGCUGUGAGCUCGAUGAGUAGGGCGGGACACGUGGUAUCCUGUCUGAAUAUGGGGGGACCAUCCUCCAAGGCUAAAUACUCCUGACUGACCGAUAGUGAACCAGUACCGUGAGGGAAAGGCGAAAAGAACCCCGGCGAGGGGAGUGAAAAAGAACCUGAAACCGUGUACGUACAAGCAGUGGGAGCACAGGUUUACCUGUGUGACUGCGUACCUUUUGUAUAAUGGGUCAGCGACUUAUAUUCUGUAGCAAGGUUAACCGAAUAGGGGAGCCGGAGGGAAACCGAGUCUUAAUUGGGCGUUAAGUUGCAGGGUAUAGACCCGAAACCCGGUGAUCUAGCCAUGGGCAGGUUGAAGGUUGGGUAACACUAACUGGAGGACCGAACCGACUAAUGUUGAAAAAUUAGCGGAUGACCUGUGGCUGGGGGUGAAAGGCCAAUCAAACCGGGAGAUAGCUGGUUCUCCCCGAAAGCUAUUUAGGUAGCGCCUCGUGAAUUCAUCUCCGGGGGUAGAGCACUGUUUCGGCUAGGGGGCCAUCCCGGCUUACCAACCCGAUGCAAACUGCGAAUACCGGAGAAUGUUAUCACGGGAGACACACGGCGGGUGCUAACGUCCGUCGUGAAGAGGGAAACAACCCAGACCGCCAGCUAAGGUCCCAAAGUCAUGGUUAAGUGGGAAACGAUGUGGGAAGGCCCAGACAGCCAGGAUGUUGGCUUAGAAGCAGCCAUCAUUUAAAGAAAGCGUAAUAGCUCACUGGUCGAGUCGGCCUGCGCGGAAGAUGUAACGGGGCUAAACCAUGCACCGAAGCUGCGGCAGCGACACUGUGUGUUGUUGGGUAGGGGAGCGUUCUGUAAGCCUGUGAAGGUGGCCUGUGAGGGUUGCUGGAGGUAUCAGAAGUGCGAAUGCUGACAUAAGUAACGAUAAAGCGGGUGAAAAGCCCGCUCGCCGGAAGACCAAGGGUUCCUGUCCAACGUUAAUCGGGGCAGGGUGAGUCGACCCCUAAGGCGAGGCCGAAAGGCGUAGUCGAUGGGAAACGGGUUAAUAUUCCCGUACUUGGUGUUACUGCGAAGGGGGGACGGAGAAGGCUAUGUUGGCCGGGCGACGGUUGUCCCGGUUUAAGCGUGUAGGUGUGUGUUCCAGGUAAAUCCGGUUCACUUUAACACUGAGGCGUGACGACGAGGCACUACGGUGCUGAAGCAACAAAUGCCCUGCUUCCAGGAAAAGCCUCUAAGCAUCAGGUAACAUCAAAUCGUACCCCAAACCGACACAGGUGGUCAGGUAGAGAAUACCAAGGCGCUUGAGAGAACUCGGGUGAAGGAACUAGGCAAAAUGGUGCCGUAACUUCGGGAGAAGGCACGCUGACACGUAGGUGAAGUGAUUUACUCAUGGAGCUGAAGUCAGUCGAAGAUACCAGCUGGCUGCAACUGUUUAUUAAAAACACAGCACUGUGCAAACACGAAAGUGGACGUAUACGGUGUGACGCCUGCCCGGUGCCGGAAGGUUAAUUGAUGGGGUCAGCGCAAGCGAAGCUCCUGAUCGAAGCCCCGGUAAACGGCGGCCGUAACUAUAACGGUCCUAAGGUAGCGAAAUUCCUUGUCGGGUAAGUUCCGACCUGCACGAAUGGCGUAAUGAUGGCCAGGCUGUCUCCACCCGAGACUCAGUGAAAUUGAACUCGCUGUGAAGAUGCAGUGUACCCGCGGCAAGACGGAAAGACCCCGUGAACCUUUACUAUAGCUUGACACUGAACAUUGAGCCUUGAUGUGUAGGAUAGGUGGGAGGCUUUGAAGUGUGGACGCCAGUCUGCAUGGAGCCGACCUUGAAAUACCACCCUUUAAUGUUUGAUGUUCUAACGUGGACCCGUAAUCCGGGUUGCGGACAGUGUCUGGUGGGUAGUUUGACUGGGGCGGUCUCCUCCUAAAGAGUAACGGAGGAGCACGAAGGUUGGCUAAUCCUGGUCGGACAUCAGGAGGUUAGUGCAAUGGCAUAAGCCAGCUUGACUGCGAGCGUGACGGCGCGAGCAGGUGCGAAAGCAGGUCAUAGUGAUCCGGUGGUUCUGAAUGGAAGGGCCAUCGCUCAACGGAUAAAAGGUACUCCGGGGAUAACAGGCUGAUACCGCCCAAGAGUUCAUAUCGACGGCGGUGUUUGGCACCUCGAUGUCGGCUCAUCACAUCCUGGGGCUGAAGUAGGUCCCAAGGGUAUGGCUGUUCGCCAUUUAAAGUGGUACGCGAGCUGGGUUUAGAACGUCGUGAGACAGUUCGGUCCCUAUCUGCCGUGGGCGCUGGAGAACUGAGGGGGGCUGCUCCUAGUACGAGAGGACCGGAGUGGACGCAUCACUGGUGUUCGGGUUGUCAUGCCAAUGGCACUGCCCGGUAGCUAAAUGCGGAAGAGAUAAGUGCUGAAAGCAUCUAAGCACGAAACUUGCCCCGA